rnacentral:rRNA from 1 species
AUUGAACGCUGGCGGCAGGCCUAACACAUGCAAGUCGAGCGGAGCGGCGGACGGGUGAGUACUGCCUAGGAAUCUGCCUGGUAGCGGGGGAUCACGUCAGGAAACGGGCGGUGAUAUCGCAUACUAUCAGAUGAGCCUCGGUCGGAUUAGCUAGUUGGUGGGGUAAAGGCCUACCAAGGCAACGAUCCGUAACUGGUCUGAGAGGAUGAUCAGUCACACUGGAACUGAGACACGGUCCAGACUCCUACGGGAGGCAGCAGUGGGGAAUAUUGGACAAUGGGCGAAAGCCUGAUCCAGCCAUGCCGCGUGUGUGAAGAAGGUCUUCGGAUUGUAAAGCACUUUAAGUUGGGAGGCGUUACCAACAGAAUAAGCACCGGCUAACUGCGUGCCAGCAGCCGCGGUAAUAC